UACGGGGGGAGCAAGCGUUGUUCGGAUUUACUGGGCGUAAAGGGCGCGUAGGCGGCCACCGCAAGUCAAUUGUGAAAUCUCCGGGCUUAACUCGGAAAGUCAACUGAUACUGCGGGGCUAGAGUGCGGAAGGGGCAACUGGAAUUCUCGGUGUAGCGGUGAAAUGCGUAGAUAUCGAGAGGAACACCUGCGGCGAAGGCAGGUCCCCUGGCUAGGCCACUGACGCUCAGGCACGAAAGCCGGUGGGGAGCAAACAGG
rnacentral:rRNA from 1 species